rnacentral:rRNA from 1 species
UACGUAGGGGGGCUAGCGUUGUCCGGAAUCAUUGGGCGUAAAGAGCGUGUAGGCGGUCCGGUAAGUCUGCUGUGAAAGUCGGGGGCUCAACCCUCGAAUGCCGGUGGAUACUGUCGGGCUAGAGUGCGGAAGAGGCGAGUGGAAUUCCUGGUGUAGCGGUGAAAUGCGCAGAUAUCAGGAGGAACACCUAUUGCGAAGGCAGCUCGCUGGGACGUAACUGACGCUGAGACGCGAAAGCGUGGGGAGCAAACAGG